UCUUAGCGGCGAACGGGUGAGGAAUGCCUGGGAAUCUGCCUGGUAGUGGGGGAUAACGAUUCGAAAGGAUCGCUAAUACCGCAUACGUCCUACGGGAGAAAGUGGGGGAUCUUCGGACCUCACGCUAUCAGAUGAGCCCAGGCCGGAUUAGCUAGUAGGUGAGGUAAAGGCUCACCUAGGCGACGAUCCGUAGCUGGUCUGAGAGGAUGAUCAGCCACACUGGAACUGAGACACGGUCCAGACUCCUACGGGAGGCAGCAGUGGGGAAUAUUGGACAAUGGGCGAAAGCCUGAUCCAGCCAUGCCGCGUGUGUGAAGAAGGCCUUCGGGUUGUAAAGCACUUUAAGCGGGGAGGAAGGCCUCAAGAAUAAUACUCUUGAGGAUUGACGUUACCCGCAGAAUAAGCACCGGCUAACUCUGUGCCAGCAGCCGCGGUAAUACAGAGGGUGCAAGCGUUAAUCGGAAUUACUGGGCGUAAAGCGCGCGUAGGCGGUUUGUUAAGUCGGAUGUGAAAUCCCCGGGCUCAACCUGGGCACGGCAUCCGAUACUGGCUGACUAGAGUGUGGGAGAGGAAGGUAGAAUUCCAGGUGUAGCGGUGAAAUGCGUAGAGAUCUGGAGGAAUACCGAUGGCGAAGGCAGCCUUCUGGCCUAACACUGACGCUGAGGUGCGAAAGCAUGGGGAGCAAACAGGAUUAGAUACCCUGGUAGUCCAUGCCGUAAACGAUGUCAACUAGCCGUUGGGGACCUUGAGUCUUUAGUGGCGCAGCUAACGCGAUAAGUUGACCGCCUGGGGAGUACGGCCGCAAGGUUAAAACUCAAAUGAAUUGACGGGGGCCCGCACAAGCGGUGGAGUAUGUGGUUUAAUUCGAUGCAACGCGAAGAACCUUACCUGGCCUUGACAUAUCCGGAAUCCUGCAGAGAUGCGGGAGUGCCUUCGGGAAUCGGAAUACAGGUGCUGCAUGGCUGUCGUCAGCUCGUGUCGUGAGAUGUUGGGUUAAGUCCCGCAACGAGCGCAACCCUUGUCCUUAGUUGCCAGCACGUAAUGGUGGGAACUCUAAGGAGACUGCCGGUGACAAACCGGAGGAAGGCGGGGACGACGUCAAGUCAUCAUGGCCCUUACGGCCAGGGCUACACACGUACUACAAUGGUCGGUACAAAGGGUUGCUAAGCCGCGAGGCCACGCUAAUCUCAAAAAACCGAUCGUAGUCCAGAUUGGAGUCUGCAACUCGACUCCAUGAAGUCGGAAUCGCUAGUAAUCGCGGAUCAGAAUGCCGCGGUGAAUACGUUCCCGGGCCUUGUACACACCGCCCGUCACACCAUGGGAGUCUAUUGCACCAGAAGUAGCUAGC
rnacentral:rRNA from 1 species